rnacentral:lncRNA from 1 species
CCCCAUUUGGCAUGAAAUUUCACUUUGUCACCCAUCUGACAGCCAUGGGAGAACUUUCAGUGUGUUGCUUUGAGAAAACGUCCUUCUCCUCGCUAACAUCUCUGCAUUGCUCCAGAUUAUUCUUUCUUUUCUUUCAACCAGGCAUGGAGGAUCCUGAAAGUAUUCCACCGGGGCAAGGAAAGCAUCAGCAAAGUCAUCCUUCAAAAUGACGUAACCCUUCAAAUGAAAGAGAAGGAAAUAGCAGAUGAAAAGAUGAAGGCCAAAGCCAAAGAGUUAGAGAAGGAAGCUCAGAAGCGGGAAAAAGAAAUGUUGAAACAAAAGUUGGAGGACCACAGACAGAGUCAUGACAUGAACCUUCAGAAGCUAAAGGAGAAGAUGGUGGAAGAAAAGAAGCAGAUGUUGGAGGAGUAUGAGAAGAUGAUCAAAAGCAAACUCAGGGAAGAAAAAGCUUUGUUGGAAGAAGGUUUCGAAAAGGAAGCAAGCCAACUGAAUGAGAAGAUUGAGGAGCUCAGAAAGCAAAAGGAAGAGAUGGAAAAACCAAGUUGGAUCACCUCAGCUUUGGAAAACCUGAGAACUGCAAUCCGCCAAAAAUUAGCAUUCAUUCAUGAUGAGGUUGUUGAACCGGUUGUGGACCGGUUCAAAAAUCUAAUCCAGAAUAUAACUUCAAAGGCUUGAUGAAGUGCUUUUACAUCCUAAAAAUGACCUGGAUGCAUUCUUACUAGAGUUAUUUUAGAUACAUUCUGUAAAUUUAAAUUCAUAGUGUGCAAAAUCAUUCUCAGACUUUAGGGACAUUUUAAAAAGAAAUUUGAGCUUUAGCAUUUCAAGGCUUUAGGGCAGGGGUGUUGAACUCAAGGCCCGGGGUGCAAGAUCCGGCCUGCGGAGUGCUUAGAUCUGGCCCGUGGGGGCCACCCUGGAAAUAGCGAAGGCCCGGCCCGCAGUGCAGUGGUGGGAUUCAAAAUUUUUUACUACCGGUUCUGUGGGCGUGGCUUGGUAGGCAUGGUGUGGCUUGAUGGGCAUGGCUUGGUGGGCGUGGCACGGAGAGGAUACUGUAAAACCUCCAUUCCCACCCCACUCCUGGAGGAAGGUUACUGCAAAAUCCCAUUCCCUCCCCACACCACUAACCUGCUUUCCAGUGCCGUUCUCCUGUGCACGGCAAUAAAAGAAGUCCCAGCUGAUCAGCUGGGACUCAGUGGGAGGCAGAGAAUAGAC